rnacentral:lncRNA from 1 species
GGGAGAAUCCCUUUAAUGACAGGGACCUAAUCAAGCGACUGAUCGACGGCUGCAUCCUGCCUGAAGUCGUCCAGAGGAUCGUUCGCGUCGGUCCUGAACAGCGGGUUUGAGACUCCUUAGGGUCCUUCCUCGAGAUGAACAGAUUCACUUUUCUUCUUCUCCUCGCACCUUCAUUCAAUUAGCUUCUCAACUUUCAUUCUGACCUCCUAGCCGCCC